rnacentral:rRNA from 1 species
GACGAACGCUGGCGGCGUGCUUAACACAUGCAAGUCGAGCGGUAAGGCCCUUUCGGGGGUACACGAGCGGCGAACGGGUGAGUAACACGUGGGUGACCUGCCCUCAGCUCUGGGAUAAGCCUGGGAAACCGGGUCUAAUACCGGAUAUGACUCCAUGACGCAUGUUGUGGGGUGGAAAGCCUUGUGCGGCUGAGGAUGGGCCCGCGGCCUAUCAGCUUGUUGGUGGGGUGAUGGCCUACCAAGGCGACGACGGGUAGCCGGCCUGAGAGGGCGACCGGCCACACUGGGACUGAGACACGGCCCAGACUCCUACGGGAGGCAGCAGUCGGGAAUCUUGGGCAAUGGGCGAAAGCCUGACCCAGCAACGCCGCGUGAGGGAUGACGGCCU